rfam:Sphingobium japonicum TT26S DNA, chromosome 1, complete genome.
CGGCUUGAUAAACGGUCCGCGCCUCUCCAUAUAGGCCCGUGCCGGGUUCGCCCGGCUAUGGUGAUAAAUUGUGUCGUGCAAUAGGCGCAGCGGACCCGGGGGCGGUACCCGGCGGCUCCACCACAUAUCCCCUUUCGCGAGGGGGGUGUUUGACGGGGCCGAACUAGGAUCGACGUGUGUUGAAAAGCGAUAUUUUCACCCGGCCUGAGUAAGCCGUAAAAAGGUUCAAAACUCACAAGUGCCAACGAUAACGAGGCUCUUGCUCUUGCUGCGUAAUUGAUGGCCUCACGGCCGGACAUUACUCAAAAAGAACGCGGUUGAACCCACCGGGCAACAGAAGGGAAUUCA